AAAGGAGGGGCAAUACCGAAUAUUGUCCGGAACCGUGAAGGGUUUCGGGGAAAGGGAGGCCUCUGACACAAGCUUUCGCCUUAAGAUGAGCCCAUGGCCCAUCAGCUAGUUGGUAGGGUAAAGGCCUACCAAGGCUACGACGGGUCGCUGGUCUGAGAGGACGACCAGCCACACUGGCACUGAGAUACGGGCCAGACUCCUACGGGAGGCAGCAGUGAGGAAUAUUGCGCAAUGGGGGAAACCCUGACGCAGCAACGCCGCGUGUGGGAAGAAGGCCUUCGGGUCGUAAACCACUUUUACUCGGGACGAAAAAGGGAUAUCAAAUAAAUAUCCCCGAUGACGGUACCGUGAGAAUAAGCCACGGCUAACUCUGUGCCAGCAGCCGCGGUAAGACAGAGGUGGCAAGCGUUGUUCGGAAUUACUGGGCGUAAAGAGUCUGUAGGUGGUUUGUCAAGUCUUUGGUGAAAGGCCGUAGCUUAACUAUGGGAAUGCCAAAGAGACUGGCAGGCUGGAGGCUGGGAGAGGGAAGCGGAAUUUCUGGUGUAGCGGUGAAAUGCGUAGAUAUCAGAAGGAAGGCCGGUGGCGAAGGCGGCUUCCUGGAACAGUCCUGACACUGAGAGACGAAAGCGUGGGGAGCAAACAGGAUUAGAUACCCUGGUAGUCCACGCCCCUAAACGAUGGGUACUAAGUGUGGAGGGGUUAAACCCUCCGUGCCGCAGCAAACGCAGUAAGUACCCCGCCUGGGGAGUACGGCCGCAAGGUUGAACUCAAAGGAAUUGACGG
rnacentral:rRNA from 1 species